rnacentral:rRNA from 1 species
AUGUCUCAUGGCGGAUGGAACUCCACGCUGGUGACCAUGGCGGCGGGCGUGCCGAUGGUGGCGUGGCCGCUUUACGCCGAGCAGAGGAUGAACGCCGUGAUGUUAUCGUCGGAUCGGGUGGGCCUGGCUUUGUGGGAAAGGCCUCCCCUCGCUAAGGACGGAGCGGUUGUCCCGCGGGAGGAGGUGGCUGCGCUGGUCAGAGAGCUUAUGGAAGGGGAGAAGGGCGCCGUGGCACGGAAAAAGGCCGGUCACCUCCGGGAUGAGGCCGGGAUUGCUUCGGCGCCGGGUGGGCCACAGGAUCGAGCUCUCGCGGUAGUGGCUGGCAUGGUUUCCUUGCAUCGGAAGAGCCACGAUGAGUAA